CUUAUCUUGACCAGAUUCAAACUAGAGAUCUAGAUUACCAUGGAAGGCCAAGUGGAUUGGCAGCUGAUGACUUGCUGUUUUAAGAUUGAUGCUCAUGAUCUGGAGGACAGUUCCAGCAUUGCCUGCUGUUGCCUUCUGCUAGAUUCGCCAUCACCAGAUAACAUGUUAGCUAUUAAUGUUGGGUGGAGUCUGUCUACUUGGGAUGCUGCUGCUGACUACCCAUGAUGUCUGCGUAGAUGACCAUUUACAAGCUAUGCCUGUUACUAAGAGCAUUUACAGCUGGGUCCUAUCUGCCUUCAAUGAAUAUUUUGCUGACAACAUGGCUUUAGGUUUAUCAAAUGCGUGACAAGCCAGUUGCUGUCAAUAUUUUUUCCAAACUUUGCAUGGAUUACACCUCAAGUGGUUGGUGCUAUUGGAUUUCUAAUAGGAACAUUCAGUGUUGUGUGGAUCUGAGAUUAACCGCUGUUUGUUGAGGGCUCAUUUUCCAGCAAUUGAGAAAGAAAUAUGUAAGGUUAACUAUACCCAUUCGGAAAGCUUAUCCUGAUAAGUGCUUAAAAAUUAUAAGUAACUGGAAUGGUUGUGGUUUUGGUAGAUUUAAAUUUUCCAAUGCAGCUUAUAUCUGUUACAAUAUAUGACAGCCGUUUUUUGUUAAAAUGUGUCCUUAGCUUAAACAUAAUGAUUGUCCCAAGGAGCAUUAAAGCAAUAAUGUACUUUAUACUUAACACACACACACACACACACUCAUUUUUUACUCUUUGCUGCCAAAUCUCAAUAUCUAAUUUAGAGCAUAACAUCUUAUUUUUAUGAAUUAUAAGCAUUAUAAUCCUAACUCUUAUAACAAUUGUUGUGCAUGCCCUCUGUCUGCUGUUACUCCUUCAGUCAGUUACUGGGUUUUCAUAAGGCCAUAGAAAUUGUG